rnacentral:rRNA from 1 species
GACGAACGCUGGCGGCGUGCUUAACACAUGCAAGUCGAACGGAAAGGCCCUGCUUUUGUGGGGUGCUCGAGUGGCGAACGGGUGAGUAACACGUGAGUAACCUGCCCUUGACUUUGGGAUAACUUCAGGAAACUGGGGCUAAUACCGGAUAGGAGCUCCUGCUGCAUGGUGGGGGUUGGAAAGUUUCGGCGGUUGGGGAUGGACUCGCGGCUUAUGAGCUUGUUGGUGGGGUAGUGGCUUACCAAGGCAUUGACGGGUAGCCGGCCUGAGAGGGUGACCGGCCACAUUGGGAUGGAGGUACGGCCAAGACGCCUACGGGGGGAAGCAGUGGGGAAUAUUGCACAAUGGGCGGAAGCCUGAUGCAGCAACGCCGCGUGGGGGAGGACGGCCUUCGGGUUGUAAACCGCUUUCGCCUGUGACGAAGCGUGAGGGAAGGGAAUGGAGAAAGAAGCACAGGCUAAUUAGGG